rnacentral:lncRNA from 1 species
CCACAAACAAGAAAUAAGAGGAUAGUGAUUAAAUAGCUGUAUCUUCUUAUAUGACAUGGUACACCUUACAAACUUAUUAAACAAAAACUGACUUGGUAACGACACAAUUUAUGCGGUCAACACUAAUAUGUGAAGACAUGAUUAAACAUUUAAUUUUUUUUUUUAAAAAAAAACCUCACUGUGAUGACAUCGAACAAACUUUUUUUGUAUGAAUGUGAUGACAUGGAACAUGUACCUGUGAAAGUCUAUUUCCGAGGAGUAUAAUAGAUGCUGCAUUUGAAGCAGCAGUUUCCUGUCCUUCAACUCGCAAAGCAAUCCCCACAUCAGCAAGAGCAAGAGAAGGUGCAUCAUUAAUGCCGAUUAUUGCAUGCUAUUUUAUUUAUGGUUCUUGUGUUUAGAUAAUUAUUUACGAUAUUUCUGCUGGAGUUACUAAUGCUCUUUUGUUUUUGUUUUUUAAUAUGUCAUAGUACACCUUACAACUUAUUAAACAAAAACUGACUUGGUAACGGUUAAACAAUUUAUACGGUCAACACUACUAUGUGAAGACAUGAUUAAACAUUGAAUUUAAAAAAGAGACUCACUGUGAUGACAUCGAACAAACUUUUUUUGUAUGAAUGUGAUGACAUGGAACAUGUACCUGUGAAAGUCUAUUUCCGAGGAGUAUAAUAGAUGCUGCAUUUGAAGCAGCAGUUUCCUGUCCUUCAACUCGCAAAGCAAUCCCCACAUCAGCAAGAGCAAGAGAAGGUGCAUCAUUAAUGCCGUCACCAACCUUCAGUAUGCAAGAAUUUCCAGUUAGAUAGCUGUGCAUAGUAUCUGAGAUUUAGCAAAUCAUAUGCUCAUACAGAAAAAAACUAAUACUCGUUGAGAGAUGAAUAGAGAAAUGAACAGCCCCAAAGAAAGAAAAGAACUAUGACAACACUUGCUAGAGGGGCAAAUAGGACAGCCCAAUUACUGGAUGAUGUGUGCCAUGAAGUAGUUUCCUUAAAAGAGUCGCGUAAUUAUAGAAGUCAAUCUUUGUAUAUUAUAAGCAGAGUUUUUUUGGGAGAAAGGUAGCAGCCAAAUGCACAUGCUAUCAUGGACGAAAUAACUUAUAUAUGUUUGAGGGACAAGUAGAAAUAUUAGGUUUCACCAGAUAUGCAUUUACCAUGGCGACACGGUGGCCUGAAGCUUGAAGAACUGAGAUGGCAGCAGAUUUCUGCUGGGGUGUCAAAGAUGCAUUGACAAAUGUGUCUUUUAUGCCAACCGUGUUUGCUACAGUUGCAACUGCCUCUUCCCUGUCUCCCGAAAACAGUACUGCUUCAAUUCCCUUGUCCUGAAGCCUUCAAUUGGUAAGAAUUUGAAAAAAUGAGAAAGAUAUGAGAAAACUAAAGAAGAAUAAAUUUACGAUGUUUUACUAGAGGAAGUAGUAAAACAUCUGCUCUGAGUUUCAAUAUACAAGAUUCUAUGAUUCUAUGAAAUCAUAAAGAUUUCAUAGAAUCUUUAUGAUUUCAAUAUAAAGAUUUCAUAGAGGAAGUUACUCAUGCCAAGGACAUUAAAAAGUUUCAAUAUAAAACAUCUGAUCAUAAAGAUUUCAUAGAAUCUUUAUGAUCUGAGUUUCAAUAUAAAAGAUGUACAUAGAAGUCUAGAGUCUGUAGAACUGUGAGAGGCAAGUCAAUCUAAAGGUACAUAUAACUUCCUCAAAAGGCUCAAAAGUGAAAACUGGAUGAUAAAUUCAAAUUCCCACUUUAUGGUAACGUCUUCAAAAGAAUAGAAUUAAGACGAAGCUAAUGACCUACCACACAUUAAAGAAGCAAUGGUAACACAUAUGUAGCAAGGAGAAAAUAGUGUGGGGUCAUGGGGGACUAAUGAUGAUUGUAGUUUCUAAGAUGCAUCUAAAAUUUACAUUUGAAAUCAUCUUCGUCAGAGAGUACCUUCUUAUGGUAGACUCAGCAUCCUCGCGUAAUUUAUCAGAGAUCGCAAUAGCCCCAAUCACACCCUCUCCCUCCCGACCAACGUAUACAACUGUGGUUGAAUGGUUAGAUGAUUGCCUGUCCUCUAAUGGUUUAUGCAUCACAGAUUGCUCAAGACUCCUCAAAUCAGAAAGGUCUGUUUUUUGCUGGAAACGUUCUUGAACCCAUUUCAGCUUUCCAAUUGCAACCAAGAGCCCAUUUACUUCUGCCAUGGUUCCAGAGCCAGAUUCAGAUAAUUGUCCACGUUUGACAGGGAUACUCAAACCCAACGAUUCUGCUUUGGUUAUAAUAGCAUGAGCAAUGGGGUGAGAUGUUGUUUUCUCCACUGCAGCAGCUAUUUGAAGAAUCUCUAAUUCCUCAUGACCCAAGGACGCUACAGCAGAGACAGCAGGUUUUCCUUCAGUCAGAGUUCCUGUCUGAGAAUUACAGGCAGAGAUCAUGUUUUUAUUACAAAUAAAUUACUACAGAUCUUUUGAUCUUAUCUGUGGAAGUAAAAAUUGCAACAAAUUACUCAAUUGAAGAACUAUUGAACACCUUGUCCAGCAUGACAUGAUCCACACUUGCCAAGCGCUCCAGUACAUCUCCUCCUCUAAUAAGAAGCCCUUGUCUUGCUCCUGUUGGUUUCAACAGAAAAAUACAGUUCAGUAAUUUGACAAUCUAUUAGUAGGUUAUAUCAUGACAAAACAAUGACCAUUAAACUAGGGGAAAACAAAAAGGCAAGUAUAUAAUCCAAGAAGUGGAUUUCUGAAUGUUGGUUGUGCCAGUCUUUCCAAACCCAAAGCAGACUACCGUUUGAUGAAUCGCAAACGUAAGCUGAAUGUCUGCAUGAAUGUUUUGAACAAGAGGAUAAUGUCCUCACUGAAGGAGACUCCUCAACUCUGGCCAACUUUACUCAUGCCAAGGACCUUAAACAUAAGCCCCACGAUAUUUCUGUUUUUAAUGUAUUUCCUCAAGCCACUUGCCCAUGAGUCAACAAUGGCCCUUUUUCACUUUGCUCUCUUGGUAAUUAAAACUUCCAAUGUUUUGAUUACCCACGAUAUUUCUGUUUUUGAUGUAUUUCCCCAAGCCUCUUGCCCAUGAACAAUGGCCCUUUUUCACUUUGCUCUCUUGGUAAUUUGAACUCCAAUGUCUUGAUUGGAAGUGGAGUGCUUCUGCCAAAUGAGCGACUGAACUUGCCAUUACAUUAAAAACUAAAUCUAACGAGUCUUGCCACUAAUCCUUUUAUCUUCUUCUUCAUCUUGUAUUAUUUUAUCUUUUGCUCCGUCCUCUUUUUUAGUGACUAAGCAGUAAAAGGUGUAAAAGUUAUGAAAGAAGCCAUAACCAUACUAGAUAAACCUAAUGCCCCAAAUGAGAAGUGUCUCUUAAAAACUUUGGCCAUGGAGGCGCUGCAAAUAUCUCCAUGUUAUCCAGCAAACUCUCUAAUCUCUACACAACCACCCAGUACUCGUAAUGCAUUUGUGUACCACAUGGUUAGUCUCUUGCCAUCUUAAAUUUGAAGUAUUCAAGUCCUAACUGAUCUUGGACGGUGAAGGUUCAACAUUCUCUUCUCUUUUAAUUGCAUUUUUGAAGAAAUGAACUUUGAAUCUAAUGAAUCCUAAAAGCUAGCUCAUGAGGGUAGGAUUGACCAACAACAUAUAAGGAGACCCCAACUCAUUCCUUCUACUAAUGUUAGGACUUGACACUCCACACGCCCAGACGUCAGGACUAGACAGAGCGUAUAAAACACAACGCGGGGACCAAACAUUGAAAAACACGACACAAUAGACGCCGAUGGGCCUGGCUCUGGUACCAUGUGAAAAAAUGAACCUUGGACUUAUCUCAACCCCAAAAGCUAGCUCAUGAAGGGAGGAUUGCCCAAGACUAUAUAAGGAGACCACAACCCAUUCCCAUCAACCAAUAUAGGAUCUGACACUUCUGAAGGGGAUUGCAUCACAUAAUAACAAUAGUAUCAUGAAAAGUAACAGCCCUUGCAUGUUGUAGGAUUCCUCACAUGCAACAUUAAAUUUUCUAAUCACAAAUGUCAAUCACUCCUCUUCAUCUCUGAAAUCAACAUGGAAUUGAUUUUGAGGCAUAAUUGAUGAUAAUUCAGGGAUAAACUAAGGCACAAAGCACCAGUGAGUGUUGGGUGAGGCUGGGAAUGUGCCACUAUGGCUGUUUGUGUUUCCAGAGAGCCUUGGGUGCACCUUUCAGAGCACUGACCCAACACCACAACCUUUGCAACAGCGAAAUGCAGCUAUCAAGGGAUACACUAGUUACGCUCUCUCCUCAUUGGGGAACUGCAAUUCCGCAGUCAGUAUUUUGACUUAACUAACCUGCUCUUACCCAAAUUGCUCAGUGUUCAAAAGAUGUACUAUUUCAAAGAUGAUGAUAAGCAUCAAUAAUCCUCCUAGCAUAACAUACUCAAGGUAGACUCCUAGCUUCCAAAUUAUUCUAAAAAUAUUCUCGUUUUCAACUGUUAAAUAUAUAUGUCUCGGAUGAGCAGAUGACAGCCAGAGAGGUUUAUAGAAUUGCUAGUAGUAUUGGUAUCUCUGAUACCCGAAGAACCCACUUUUCUUCUUGUUGAUUGGUACAUCUAAAUCUCAGUCUAGCAUUUUAGUUUCUAAAGCAAAUGAUGCGUCAAAAGAAGAGUGAUGUAGUGAGAAAAGGUCAGUGUCCAAAAGAAGAUAAGGAAUGUAACAGGUAUGUCUUGAAUUGCUGUGUAUGAGGGAGAAUGAGGAAAUACCGAGAAUUACAGCAAAAGCAUUUAAAUCUGAUUAUGUACCUAAUGAGGUGCCAACUAGAAUUGCAGUUGGUGUGGCAAGGCCUAAAGCGCAAGGGCAGGAGACUACCUGUCAAAAAGAAGACAAUAUUGUCAAUCCAAAAUAACCAACAUGCCAUUUUAGGACAACUAUAAGUGGAGGAACAUAUGCUCGAAUUUUCAAGUUCCAGAACAAGCCAGGGCAUUAGAAUUAGGAACGGACUAGCUGACCACUGUAAGCUUGGACGAGUGGUAUCACAAUCAUUACAGAUUAUUUACUCAAUACACAAAUAGCACAAACUUCUGUAUGCAGCCAAGCUAUGUUGUGAUUUUACCAAUAAUGAUAGUAUGAUACCAGGGUAUUAAUGAAGCAACAACGUGAAAAAACUGCCCUUCUGCCAUAAUCCAAUAUACUACAGAUGUCCUCUGUUUUAAACUUUACAACUUGAUUUCUACUUGGAUCAUCCCAUAGCUUCCGCUAAAAGUGAACUACUCCUACAAGUUCCUUCUCCCUAAAAUAAUAGGCCAAACCUUCCAUUACCAGUAAUAUCAUAAGAGCAAAUGGAGAAGCACAGAGUAGACAGCAGACAAAGCACAAAGAUUUGGACAAGCUAAAAUGUAACAACUCAGAGGUAUGUCGCACUCAACUUCAGUGUCUUUUCCUAACCCCAAAAUAUAUAGUUUGACAUUUAUAAGUUCUAGACGUAUUUCGCACUCAACUUUAGUGGCUUUCCCUAACCCCAAAAGUUAUAGUUUGACAUUUAUAAGUUCUGAUAAACUAGCAGCCUCUAACAAGAUCUGACAGAAUAGAGAAUAACUAAAUGUUUUCUAGGCAAAAGAUGGCAGGAAAAUGGAGAGGUAAUUCAGAUUAGAUAGGAAGGCAUCGAUACAAAAGAUGGAUCAUCAGUUCACCAUGACGCACCAAUACAUCUACAGCAAGUUUCAGGCUCAGAAGCAAAGGAUCUCCUUCUGGUCCGGCAAUAUCAUUCAGUAAAACAUCUGGGAAGAUGUUUGAUCCAAGAUAAUACCUAUAUAAUGAGCAGUAAAUACAAAACAACAGAAAAUUAUAAGUAACAGACCAAGCUAAUUAGCAGUAAAUAUGAUUACUCAUUAACAUGAAAUAUAUGCAGUAACAGACCACCAAGCUAUCAUUGUUAGAGAGACUUAAAGUAACCGAAUAAGAGUAUCAAGGAUUCAUUGCUGCAGCAGCAAAUUGCUGCAGCAGCAAAUUGCUGCAGAAUCAUCGAUCAUCUAUAUUUUGAGUGCUUAUACCAAUGCUCGUAAUGGCUGCUGCUUCGAGUUGCUCCUAAUCAGAUGAUGCCCUAAAGGUCUUGAGAUUCUGUGGAUCUUGUUGCAUAUGAAAAGACCUGGAGGAAAUGGUUGAUGAAGAUUGCUCUAGACACUGCCUAUUUACCAGAAGGACAGAAUGAAUGUAUUUUGGAAAACAUGAACCAGACCGUAGAAUGCCAAGUCCAUGAACAUUAUACUUAUCUAGAGCUUCAAGCUGUAGAACUCUGCCAAUACUUCAUUGUAAUUAAGAAUUCGCUUGAGCCUUGGGUUUUCUCAAACAGCUUUUGAGGGAACAUGAGUGCUGGAUUUCCAAGGAAAUCCCUGUAAAUUCUGUAACACUCAGUUUCAAGGAAAUAAUAUGUUACUUGCAGAAAAUAAAGGAACAUCAACUACACCAUUGCCCAAAGCAAGUAGCAGUUUACUCACUAGUGUACUAUUUCAAACACAGAUGUUUUCCUUUUUUCAGAUAUUGUAAGUACCACCCUCAAACCCAUCCUACCCAGUGUUUUGAAAAGCGGUCGCUUCGUCGCUUAAAGCGCGAAGCGACGCGAAGCGACCAUCUAUCGCUUUUUGCAGGCUGAAGCGAGGCGACCUAGAGAAGCGAUCGCUUCCAUGGCAGAAGCGCAGAAGCGCAGAAGAUUGAAGCGCAAAAGCGAUCGCUUAUAUUGAAGAAAGUACAGGCAGGGGUCUUUUUUAAAAAAAAAAAAAAGAACUUUGGGGUUUGAAAAAACAUACCCUAAAUUGACAAAACCCUCUUUCUCCAGAAGCUAGAGGCUCGAUCUUCUUCCGUUGUCAAAAAAAGAAAAGCUAGGGUUAUCUUCUUCUUCUUCAGUGCACGAUCAGUCAACCAAGAACCAACCCAGGUAAUUUCUUCUCUUUUCUUCUCGUUUUUUUUUAUUUUUCUUUCUUCUGCUUUCUUCUUCAGACUAAUCGACGUCAGACUGGUCUUCCUCUUCUUCAUUUUUCUUCUUCUCUCUUUCUUUCUCUGUUUCGACUCUAUACAGUCAGGGGAAGGAACAAAUUUUUUUUUCCUUUUUGUUUGUGUACUGUACAUUUUCAGCAUAUAUAUAUAUAUAUAUAUUUAAUUAUUAUAUGUAUUUCAUUUAUUAUAAUAUUUCAGCAUAUAAAAUUAAUUAUAUAAAUGUAUUAAUUUUAAUUUAUGUGAUUUUUUAAAUGUAUAUUUCAGUUUAUAACUUUAUAUCAUUAAUUAUUAUAUAUAUUAUAUGUAUUUUCAGUUUAUUAAUUAUUUUUUCUCUUAUAUCUUAAUAGGGAUAAUUAAAUGUCUCAAAGUUCGAAAAAGAAAGACCCGGCUUGGCGAUAUGGCCAAAGAGUUAAUGAGAAAAAAUACAAAUGUUGUAUGCAUCUUUUGCAACAAGAUUACAACGGGUGGAAUUUAUCGCUUUAAAUACCAUCUAAUUGGUGGCGAUAGAAACGUUACAAGUUGUCCCAAAUGUCCACCGGAUGUGAGGGAAGAAAUAAAGAAUUUUGUUGAGAAGAAUUGUCACUUCCAACAAAACGGGGAAGAGAUGGGUCAAGCCAUGGAUCAUCGACUAAAGUCCCUACCUAGGAGCACAACAGUGGUUUUCCUACUUUACUCCCCCAGUGAUUCGACCCCCCAACCUCAUCGUUGAGGUGGAGUCCCUAACUGCUAGACUCUCCCUCCCUUGUCUUCAAAUACAAAAUUGGAUAUCCCAGAAAAUAAUUUUGCUAAGGAAAAAGGACAACUAUAUUAACGAUUAGAAUGCUAUAAUCUAAAUAUUAUGGAAGUAGUGACCUCUUCAGAAUAGUCGAGUGAACUAGGUGUCUGGAAAUAACCUGAUUGAACUUGAUCCAGAUUUGACUCAAUUCUGGGAGGUGGAUUGAAGUGAAUCAGUGCCGUGUAGGAUGCCAAGUGACAUGAUAAGGCUAUAUUACUUUUGACAGUGCUCCAAGUGCACCUUGUAAUAGAAAAUGCAUGCAGUUAUACGCAAUUAUAACUCAUAGGAGUGGAUGAACAUAGAUUUACAAUAUAGCAGCUUGUGAAUGGCGAGGAGGGAAAUAUGGCUUCAAAGAAAUAGAUCUAGGCAGAUAAAUUAACAUGCAAACGUUGACUGAUGAGUCAUCACACUCCAUUAACAUCAUAUCAAUGAGAAUUCACCGCUAAACCAUUAUUCCGUUCAUUUUAGAGGCUAAAAAGUAGUUGUUCAGAUCUCCCAGUUAGAACUCUUCUUCCAGUUUGUUCAAGUGUGCCUAUCCUUUGUCUAUCUAUACCUAAUAAGCUAAAGGAGCAGUCAAUUGUUUCUUAAAUAUAUUUGUGAUACAUAAGGAAAGAACAAUCGUGUUACCAGAACCCAAAAGUUGCAGCUGAUAAUGUCAUCACACUGUAAACAAAUGGCCCAGCAAUUGUAUCGGCUAGUCGCUGAAUUGGUGCUUCACGGCCUUGAGCAUCCUCAACCUGGAAGAUUGUUGCAGCUGAUAAUAUCAUCACACUAGACAAGAGGGUUGCUCUGAUGGUAAACAAUCCCCACUUCCAACCUAGAGGUUGUGAGUUCGAGUCUCCUCAAGAGCAAGGUGGGAAGUUCUUGGAGGGAAGGAUGCCGAUCACUUCCAACCGAGAGGUUGUGAGUUUGAGUUUCUCCAAGGGCAAGGUUGGAGGGAAGGAUGCCGGGGUCUAUUUGGAAACAGCCUCUCUACCCAAGGGUAGGGGUAAGGUCUGCGUACACACUACCCUCUUCAGACCCCACUAAGUGGGAUUAUACUGGGUUGUUGUUGUUGUUGUUGAUAAUAUCAUCACACUGUAAACAAAUGGCCCAGCAAUUGUAUCUGCUAGUCGCUGAAUUGGUGCUUCACGGCCUUGAGCAUCCUCGACCUGGAACAUUAGAAAAUUUAUGUAGAAGUUCAUAAGUUCCUUAACUUUCACAAAUUAAUAUUAGAGGGCGGUGUCCCUACACAUAUCUGCUAAUUCUAGUUUAAGAUCAGCAGCCACAUUGUGUGAAAAAAGGGUACAAAUACACUUUUGUCCACCCCCCUCAUAUUAGAAAGAGUUAUUCAGAAUUAGAAAUUUCUAAAUAGAGAAAAUAAUAUUUUCUCAGGAAAUAAAGGCUGCAAACAACGAAAAAUACAUGCCAAACAUCAAAAAGGGAGCCAGAUAACUCCACAAACAGUUAUCAUAAUCUCCAUUAGAAGUCCCAAAUUCCUCUUUAAUUGCAAAGAGAGAGUCAAAAGUAAUAGACCAUAUUCCACAUGUUAAAAAUUAUUCCACUUUGGCACCUUUGGAGGAUGUUAGAAGAGAUACUUUAUUAGAAUAUUGUAGUGUCAAGUGCCAUUACUAAAUCGGUCCAACAACAACAACAACAACUACUACCCAGUAUAGUCCCACAAAGUGGGGUCUGGGGAGGCUAAUAUGUAGACGGGCCUUACCCCUACCCCAAAGGGCUAAGUCGGUCCCUUAUCAAUUAAAUAUAAAAUUUGAAUUGUACCACAACUACAAAAUAGGUGUCUUCUAUUCCAUCUCAUCAGGUUGUAAAUAUAUUUCUUCCCUAUAUUAUUUUCUCACAUGGUUCAAAACCUCUAUGAUCUGGAUGGAGAUCUCACAACUUCUGCCUACCAGCACUGCCUUAUACUGUUUGUCUAGCCCAAGUUUUCAAUCUUCUUCGAAUUAAUAGUCUUCCAUUUUCAAGGUGACUGUUCUAGCGAUACCAAUCCUAUUUUCGGUAACUGUACCUGAGCACCGUGUAAUUUGAGUUGUUCAUUAUGGAAGCCUGCGCCUCUUUCUGGGGACUGUUACACUGCCACUUUCCGGUGAUCUUUAGAGACAACACUACUUCUUUCAAUGACCAUUCUAACGGCACUGUACCUUUUUCUUUUUCUAGUCACUGUUCCAGUGGUACCGCACCUUUUUGGUAAUCAUUUUGACAAUACCACUUUUUGGUGAUUGUUCAAGUCGCGACUUCUUUCAAUGACCAUUCUUUUGGACAAAACUUCUCCACAAGGAUUUCAAUUUUCAAAAAUUUCCAGUGAGAUUCAAGUGGUCAAAGGAUAAUAUUUACUUGACCAAACAAGGAAGUUCACAGGCUACAGGUUUUCCACCACUAAACUCAAUGAAAACCCACUGGAAUUUAGCUUAUACAUCAUUUCUAAUAAAUUUCCAGAUAUUGUGAUCAAUUUUGCACUCUCAAGUUCUAUGCAUUACAUCAAGAAGAAAACAGUAGUUUUAAUAGCCCAAUAAAAAAGCAUUCUAAGAUUUCUGUUUUCCCUCCUCAAGGCACUAUAUCUAACUGCUAGAAUAUGUUCCAGGCAGCAAUCUAUUACUUGGAAGUGAAAACAUCACUAAGAAACAGUGUGCUGACCAUGUUAACAAUCUUGGAAAUUGUUGAGUUGGAACCAGUGGAGGAGGCCUCAAUCCUUAAAGGACUGUCCUGAAACAUAAGAACAAAGACUUGAAUAUAAAAGUACAAAAAUAAAUGUAAGUCCAACCAUUGUUGCUUACAAAUAUUCCAGUUCUACUAUCAUAAGGUAUUUACCAACUAAAGUUAUCAGUAUGUGGGGCACAAAUCUAAUGUGCUAUUGUUCAUGCAACCUUAACAAGGAUCAUGUCAACAUUUGAACCUAAUAUCUCACCAGGAUUUUUUUUUCUUUUUUGAUAAGUAAUGUCUUACCAGGAUUUUUUUGAUCAGGUAAAGUAAAUUCCAUUAUAUGUAGCUUCCAGAGGAUGCAACUGAUUACUAAUGUUUCACCAGGAUUAUACUGGACAUAAUUAAUAUAUAGCCCGUCCUGUAUUUUUUUUAACAAUAAGAAUGAAUAUUAGUUCUAAAAGGUCAUUCAAACCUCAUUUCUUUAUAGGCGACACAAAGGGACAGAAAUGUAGUUCAUUCCAGAAAAGCUGCAAAAACCAUUUAGUAUAUCUUUACACAUAAUAUCUUUGCACCAUGUCCGAAGAGAGCAUAAUGGAUGUAGAGAAUUCAUAUAGCUUAACCCUAUUAGUUUGGGAUUAUCAUAUUUAAUUGAUUAUUGAAUCUUGACAUCACCAUACCCAGUUUAUUGUACCAGCUGAGACAGAAAAGCCCUUCUCUUUAAACACUGGAAGAGACUUCCAGAAAGCAUAGAUUCAUCCACAACACUUCGACCUGCAACGACUCUUCCCUGCAGAGGAUAUUUGAUUUAUAUUUUUGAGAAUUUAAGAUGUUGCAUGUUACCAAAUAACAGGAGCAACAAGUAUUUUAACUAAACACUACAUCCUUGGACAGAUAUUUGUAUUUUUAUGUUGCGCGGACUCUCCAAAAUAUUGCCGCACCCGUGUCACAUUCACCAAAAAUACACUGCUUUUGGAUAAUCCGACACGCACCCGGCAAAAGAGGAUGAGUUUCUUCCUUUUGAAGCUGAAAAAGGUACCACAAAUGUUUUAAACUAUUAACACUGUUACUAGUUCAAACAGGACAAAAUUCUCAUUUGUCCAAAAUUACCUAUCCAAUCCUACGAAAAACAAAGAAAAUUCCAUUUGUUUCUUGAGAUCAGCAUCUAAAAUUGCCAUAAAUCUGCUGAAAGUGCAAAAGAAAAAAUGUACUAGAAACCACCAUUAAGAUGUAUUGAGGUCUAUGUUGCUCGGACUCUCCAAAAAUAUCGCCGGGUGAGAAUCAGAUCUUCAAAAGGUAGUGCAUUUUUGGAGGAUCCGACACGGGUGUGACAACAUUUUGGAGAGUCCCCACAACAUAGACUGAGGUAAUAAUUUAUUCCUUGUCUAAUGGUUCCUUAUUGUUUUUUAGAAGCUGAUAGUUUAGCAUUAGUAUCUUAAAUGCUUGGAGCAAUGAAAUCCGAGGAAAUUAGCACAUGGGUUCUAUUCUGCUUUACUGAAGAUCUUCAGACCUUUGUCCUCGAGCUAAAAUCCUGAAAAGAAAGUACUCGUGCAAAAUUUGACUUACAUCUACGGGUAUAGUUUCUCCAGGCAAAACAAGCAAAGAAUCACCAACUCGAAUAUCAUCAGUUGGAACUUCAAUACAUAUUGCAUCAGAGCUGACGACAUCACCUGAGGAACCACUGCUGGAAGAAGUAACCACAAGUCUAGACUGAGUGGAUAUAAGCGACUGCCAAGAGAACCACAACAACAGUUUGUUGUAAGACAAAGGAGUAAAUGUACUUCAAUUCCAAGCUCUGGGGGAUCUUGUCUUAAUAGUAUAAAUGAACUUUUAGUUCAUUAGAUAAAAAAUAGAAAGUAUCCAUGUGUAUCCUUUAUUUGAUGUCUUCAACGAAGUAAGAAAAAAGUAGCCAGAAAAUAACCUAAUAUUAUUCUUUGCUAAGUGCAGCUAUUAGGUAGCAUUGUUUUCACACCACUAAACAUAUGGCAAUUCCUCCAUAGAUACAACAACAACAACUACCCAGUGGAGGGUAAUAUGUAGACAGGUCUUACCCAUACCCCGAAAGGGCAGAGAGGCUGUUUCCAAUCGACCCUC